GGAUCAAUAGCUCAGUGGUAGAGCGUGGGAUUGCAGAUCCUAAGGUCGGGUGUUCGACCCACUCUUGGUCCU
rfam:Fomitiporia mediterranea MF3/22 unplaced genomic scaffold FOMMEscaffold_13, whole genome shotgun sequence.